GCUGCAGAAGAAGCACCGGCUAACUCCGUGCCAGCAGCCGCGGUAAUACGGAGGGUGCGAGCGUUAAUCGGAAUUACUGGGCGUAAAGCGCAUGCAGGUGGUUUGUUAAGUCAGAUGUGAAAGCCCGGGGCGUCAACCUCGGAAUAGCAUUUGAAACUGGCAGACUAGAGUACUGUAGAGGGGGGUAGGAAUUUCAGGUGUAGCGGUGAAAUGCGUAGAGAUCUGAAGGAAUACCGGUGGCGAAGGCGGCCCCCUGGACAGAUACUGACACUCAGACUGCGAAAGCGUGGGGAGCCAAACAGGAUUAGAUACCCCUGGUAG
rnacentral:rRNA from 1 species